rnacentral:tRNA from 1 species
GGGACUGUGGGGUAGCUUGGUAGCCUGUAAGGUUCGGGGCCUUUUGACCCGGGUUCGAAUCCCGGCAGCCCCA